rnacentral:rRNA from 1 species
GAAACGACUGCUAAGACUGGAUAGGAGACAAGAAGGCAUCUUCUUGUUUUUAAAAGACCUAGCAAUAGGUAUGCUUAGGGAGGAGCUUGCGUCACAUUAGUUAGUUGGUGGGGUAAAGGCCUACCAAGACUAUGAUGUGUAGCCGGGCUGAGAGGUUGAACGGCCACAUUGGGACUGAGACACGGCCCAAACUCCUACGGGAGGCAGCAGUAGGGAAUUUUCGGCAAUGGAGGAAACUCUGACCGAGCAACGCCGCGUGAACGAUGAAGUAUUUCGGUACGUAAAGUUCUUUUAUUAGGGAAGAAUAAAUGAUGGAAAAAUCAUUCUGACUGUACCUAAUGAAUAAGCCCCGGCUAACUAUGUGCCAGCAGCCGCGGUAAUACAUAGGGGGCAAGCGUUAUCCGGAAUUAUUGGGCGUAAAGGGUGCGUAGGCGGUUAAAUAAGUUUAUGGUCUAAGUGCAAUGCUCAACAUUGUGAUGCUAUAAAAACUGUUUAGCUAGAGUAAGAUAGAGGCAAGUGGAAUUCCAUGUGUAGUGGUAAAAUGCGUAAAUAUAUGGAGGAACACCAGUAGCGAAGGCGGCUUGCUGGGUCUUUACUGACGCUGAGGCACGAAAGCGUGGGGAGCAAACAGGAUUAGAUACCCUGGUAGUCCACGCCGUAAACGAUGAGUACUAAACGUUGGGUAAAACCAGUGUUGAAGUUAACACAUUAAGUACUCCGCCUGAGUAGUACGUACGCAAGUAUGAAACUUAAAGGAAUUGACGGGACUCCGCACAAGCGGUGGAUCAUGUUGUUUAAUUCGAAGGUACCCGAAAAACCUCACCAGGUCUUGACAUGCUUUUGCAAAGCUGUAGAAACACAGUGGAGGUUAUCAGUUGCACAGGUGGUGCAUGGUUGUCGUCAGCUCGUGUCGUGAGAUGUUGGGUUAAGUCCCGCAACGAGCGCAACCCUUAUUGUUAGUUACCAGCACGUAAUGGUGGGGACUUUAGCAAGACUGCCAGUGAUAAAUUGGAGGAAGGUGGGGACGACGUCAAAUCAUCAUGCCCCUUAUGACCUGGGCUACAAACGUGAUACAAUGGCUGUUACAAAGGGUAGCUGAAGCGCAAGUUUUUGGCGAAUCUCAAAAAAACAGUCUCAGUUCGGAUUGAAGUUUGCAACUUGACUUCAUGAAGUUGGAAUCGCUAGUAAUCGCGAAUCAGCAUGUCGCGGUGAAUACGUUCUCGGGGUUUGUACACACCGCCCGUCA